rnacentral:rRNA from 1 species
UACGUAGGGUCCGAGCGUUGUCCGGAAUUAUUGGGCGUAAAGGGCUCGUAGGCGGUCUGUUGCGUCGGGAGUGAAAACUUACAGCUUAACUGUGAGCGUGCUUCCGAUACGGGCAGACUUGAGGUAUUCAGGGGAGAACGGAAUUCCUGGUGUAGCGGCGAAAUGCGCAGAUAUCAGGAGGAACACCGGUGGCGAAGGCGGGUCUCUGGGCCGAUACUGACGCUGAGGAGCGAAAGCAUGGGGGAGCGAACAGG